AGUUGCAGGGUAUAGACCCGAAACCCGGUGAUCUAGCCAUGGGCAGGUUGAAGGUUGGGUAACACUAACUGGAGGACCGAACCGACUAAUGUUGAAAAAUUAGCGGAUGACUUGUGGCUGGGGGUGAAAGGCCAAUCAAACCGGGAGAUAGCUGGUUCUCCCCGAAAGCUAUUUAGGUAGCGCCUCGUGAACUCAUCUUCGGGGGUAGAGCACUGUUUCGACUAGGGGGUCAUCCCGACUUACCAACUCGAUGCAAACUACGAAUACCGAAGAAUGUUAUCACGGGAGACACACGGCGGGUGCUAACGUUCGUCGUGAAGAGGGAAACAACCCAGACCGCCAGCUAAGGUCCCAAAGUCAUAGUUAAGUGGGAAACGAAGUGGGAAGGCUCAGACAGCCAGGAUGUUGGCUUAGAAGCAGCCAUCAUUUAAAGAAAGCGUAAUAGCUCACUGGUCGAGUCGGCCUGCGCGGAAGAUGUAACGGGGCUAAACUAUGCACCGAAGCUGCGGCAGCGAUAUGUAAAUAUUGUUGGGUAGGGGAGCGUUCUGUAAGCCUGUGAAGGUGUGCUGUGAGGCAUGCUGGAGGUAUCAGAAGUGCGAAUGCUGACAUAAGUAACGAUAAUGCGGGUGAAAAACCCGCACGCCGGAAGACCAAGGGUUCCUGUCCAACGUUAAUCGGGGCAGGGUGAGUCGACCCCUAAGGCGAGGCAGAAAUGCGUAGUCGAUGGGAAACGGGUUAAUAUUCCCGUACUGGUGAUAAUUGCGAUGGGGGGACGGAGAAGGUUAGGCUGGCCGGGCGACGGUUGUCCCGGUUUAAGGAUGUAGGCAGGUGAAUUAGGCAAAUCCGGUUCACUAUAUGCUGAGGUCUGAUGACGAGUCACUACGGUGGCGAAGUAGCU
rnacentral:rRNA from 1 species